rnacentral:lncRNA from 1 species
UUGUGACAAACUUUCACCUUGGCAAGAAGGUUAAACAUCCAGAUGCACCACGAACACGGUGGGUUCUUCAGCCCCAGAGAAGACGAUGCCUGUGACUGGAAGCAAGGCAAGCUCCUGGUACUGUCUUCCUAAUGCAGACCCACAAACUGCUCGGGCAGAUACCACCUGAUAGUUCUGUUCAAGGGGAACAGAACCUCAAUGUCAGCCUCGCUCUUGGAGCCACAGGAAACGAAGCUCCCAAGGGAAACAGCGGGAGAAAAACCUUCAGGAGAACCUGCUCAGUGAUUUGACAUCAGAAGCCCAGAACACACUCAGUGGGUUAAGAGAUGCGUGAGGGAAAAAUCAGCAGGUGGUUUGAGCCACCAAUAACAAAAGAGAUAGAUAGCCGCCAGCCCCAGGGCUAUCAGGCUGGCAAUCUAUUUCAAAACUUGAACAGGAAAAAAAAUGUUCUGGAGCCAGUACAGAGGAAACAGGUUGAGGUCCACAGGCAUUCUCUGGAGACUUCUCUUAGCUCUCUGGGACGGGGGACAGGGUGGAGGGCAGGAGGAAGGGCAGAGACAGGCUGGGGUAUCACGGUUUUAAUGUGUAUAAUAAGAGUGUAAAGCCAUAAAGCCCUGUUUCCUGGAAGGGGAAAAGAGCUGGAUGAGGCCUCCAACUACCCCUGGCACACACCCAAUUCAGCGGCUGGUCUCUCCUCAAGGGUUCCUGGAAGUCAACAAACCCAUAAAGGGGAAGUACUCCGCUGAGACUGGGAGAAUGGUCUAUAAACUGGACAUUAUCCCUGAUGCAACACCCUAGUAAAUUCUCCCCCACAGACACAGGUUAUAUUCACCUCAGACAUUCAGAGCCUUACUUCAAUCACAGGGCUGUACACCCUACCCCACGGGGACCUCAUCUGUGGGUCAUGGGAAAACAAAGUAGUGUCUGGAGCUUAAUGCUUCUCCCAGAAGCAGAGGCAAGGAACUGGGAGGGAAGGGGAGGUGGAUGACAGGAAUGCAGGGGACAGGGCUGACUAGAAAGAAAUCCUGAGAGUGGGGCAAAAACAAAAAAACAAAAAAACAGGGCUUCUGCGGGGAACCGGGAUAGGAGAGGCUUAGGUAGACAGGCAUUGAAGGCAUGGGCUGAAAAAGUCAAGUAACAAGGUGAGAAAGGUGUGGGGGAGGAGUAAUAUUGGGGGGGGAGGUGCAGGCAAGUGGGAGAAAGAGAGGACGGGGAUGGGG